UACAGAGGGUGCGAGCGUUAAUCGGAAUUACUGGGCGUAAAGCGCGCGUAGGCGGCUUUGCAAGUCGGGUUUGAAAUCCCCAGGCUUAACCUGGGAACUGCAUUCGAGACUGCAUUGCUAGAGUAUGGGAGAGGGAAGUGGAAUUUCCGGUGUAGCGGUGAAAUGCGUAGAUAUCGGAAGGAACAUCAGUGGCGAAAGCGACUUCCUGGACCAAUACUGACGCUCAUGUGCGAAAGCGUGGGGAGCAAACAGG
rnacentral:rRNA from 1 species